rnacentral:rRNA from 1 species
UACGUAGGUGGCAAGCGUUGUCCGGAUUUAUUGGGUUUAAAGGGUGCGUAGGCGGUUCUCUAAGUCAGUUGUGAAAUACGGCAGCUUAACUGUCGAGGUGCAAUUGAUACUGGAGAACUUGAGUACUGAUGAGGUAGGCGGAAUGGACGGUGUAGCGGUGAAAUGCUUAGAUAUCGUCCAGAACACCGAUAGCGAAGGCAGCUUACUAAGGAGUAACUGACGCUGAGGCACGAAAGUGUGGGGAUCAAACAGG